rnacentral:rRNA from 1 species
UACCUGGUUGAUCCUGCCAGUAGUCAUAUGCUUGUCUCAAAGAUUAAGCCAUGCAUGUCUCAGUACUGGCCUACCUAAGGCGAAACCGCGAAUGGCUCAUUAAAUCAGUCAUGAUUCAUUGGAUGUUGUAACAGCCUUACUUGGAUAACUGUGGUAAUUCUAGAGCUAAUACAUGCAACUAAGCUCCGACCCUGCCGUCAAAGGCGGGGGAAGGGCGCUUUUAUUAGAUCAAAAACCGAUCGGACUUCGGUCCGUCUCUCAAAAAGAGUUGUGAUGACUCUGAAUAACUUAGCCGAGCGCUGCGGUCUGCGUACCGGCGCCGUAUCCUUCAAGUGUCUGCCUUAUCAGCUCUCGAUUGUAGGUUAUACGCCUACAAUGGCUGUAACGGGUAACGGGGAAUCAGGGUUCGAUUCCGGAGAGGGAGCCUGAGAAACGGCUACCACAUCUAAGGAAGGCAGCAGGCACGCAAAUUACCCACUCCCGGUUCGGGGAGGUAGUGACGAAAAAUAACGAUGCGGGACUCUUCCGAGGCCUCGCAAUCGGAAUGAGUCCAAUUUAAAUCCUUGGACGAGGAUCCAUUGGAGGGCAAGUCUGGUGCCAGCAGCCGCGGUAAUUCCAGCUCCAAUAGCGUAUAUUAAAGCUGCUGCGGUUAAAAAGCUCGUAGUUGGAUGUCUGAUCCGGACCGGCGGCCCAUCCAAGGCGAGCCCUCGUCAUUCGCGGGCGGUCCCUUCGCUUCUCCCGUCUCCGUGCGUCGCGCCCAGCGAGACGGCGUCCUUCGCGCGAGCGGCCGGUUAGCGUUCGGAGUUUCGGCGUAGGGGGUCAAAGGUUGUUCCGCUCGCGGUUCGCCUCCCCUUCGCCGCUUCGGCUAAAAGCGCUUCCGGGUCAAACCGUCUCGCCGGAGGUCAGCGCCGUUCCCGAGGGUGUCGCGGCCCGGGGGUUCAAAGCGGGUUUUGUCGACUCGGGUCCGCCCCGGGCGGGUAAGCUCGCCCGGUGGUUUCCCGCCCGGCUCCGGAUUGAAAAAAAGCCGUCGGUUCUCACGGGGUGCUCUUUACCGAGUGUCCCGCGUGGCCGACACGUUCACUUUGAAAAAAUUAGAGUGCUCAGAGCAGGCAAUAAAGUACGCCUGAAUGGUGGUGCAUGGAAUGAUGGAACAGGACCUCGGUUCUGUCCUUUUGAUCGGUUUUCGGAACCCGAGGUAAUGAUUAACAGGAACAGACGGGGGCAUUAGUAUUGCGACGCUAGAGGUGAAAUUCUUGGACCGUCGCAAGACUAACCACUGCGAAAGCAUUUGCCAAGAAUGUUUUCACUAAUCAAGAACGAAAGUUAGAGGAUCGAAGGCGAUCAGAUACCGCCCUAGUUCUAACCAUAAACGAUGCUAACUGGCGAUCCGCCGGCGUCAUUCCCACGACUCGGCGGGGAGCCCACCGGAAAACCAAAGUCUUUGAGUUCCGGGGGAAGUAUGGUUGCAAAGCUGAAACUUAAAGGAAUUGACGGAAGGGCACCACCAGGAGUGGAGCCUGCGGCUUAAUUUGACUCAACACGGGAAACCUCACCAGGCCCGGACACCGGAAGGAUUGACAGAUUGAGAGCUCUUUCUCGAUUCGGUGGUUGGUGGUGCAUGGCCGUUCUUAGUUGGUGGAGCGAUCUGUCUGGUUGAUUCCGAUAACGAACGAGACUCUACCCUGCUAACUAGUCGGCGGAUCGUCUCCCAGGACGGGUCCUUCCCGGUGGUUUUCGACCCUCGUCCGUCGCUUCCGUUUCCGGCGGCGCGGCGCGGUCGCGGCGUUCUCGCGCGGCUCCUCCGGGGGUUUAGCGCGGGGCGUCGCGUCGCGUCGUCGUUUGUCGGGGCGGGUCAAGGGCGGCGGCGUGUUUCGGUCGGGCCUCCGCGCGUCGGGCCCAGCACGGGGCGUCCGUCGCAACGUCUUCUUAGAGGGAUCGGCGGCGUCCAGCCCACGAGAUAGAGCAAUAACAGGUCUGUGAUGCCCUUAGAUGUUCUGGGCCGCACGCGCGCUACAAUGAAGGGCUCAGCGUGCGUUCCCCCUCCGAAAGGAGCGGGUAACCCAAUGAAACCCCUUCCCGAUUGGGAUUGGGGAUUGCAAGUGUUUCCCAUGAACGAGGAAUUCCCAGUAAGCGCAAGUCAUCAGCUUGCGUUGAUUACGUCCCUGCCCUUUGUACACACCGCCCGUCGCUACUACCGAUUGAAUGAUUCAGUGAGGACAUCGGACUGGCGCCCUCGGUAGCCUGCGUUCCGCGUUCAAACCCCGUUUCGGCGGGGGCGCGUUCGCGGGCACCCCGGGCUGACGGAAAGAUGUCCGAACUUGAUCAUUUAGAGGAAGUAAAAGUCGUAACAAGGUUUCCGUAGGUGAACCUGCGGAAGGAUCAUUA